UUUGCACCUUAUCUCUAAAUAUAGAAACCAAAAUAAUAUUCCUUUUUUCAGAAAAAUUGGGAGACAAACUCAAGUUCUUUGUUUUCAGGUUGAGAACAUGGACUGGUAUUUCACAAGAGAAACUGAAAAUUUUGUUGUUCCUGAUGAUCAAGAAACUGAAGAUGUAUCUACUGAAAAACUUAGUGAAAAAGAUGAAAUUCCCGGUCAUCAGUACAAAAAAUUUAGUAACUCAAGUGCAAAUAAGCUAACUUCAUCGAUAAAUUGCAGCUUGGGGAUGUCGGAAACUUCAAUUCAAAGCAUUUCUGAUUUCCGGUUGCCGAACAAUAUGGGGCAAAUGGAUGACACUUUCUUAAACUCUUUGCUGGAAGAUGAUUU